rnacentral:rRNA from 1 species
GGCGGGCGGGUGAGUAACGCGUGGGAACGUGCCCUUUGGUACGGAACAACUGAGGGAAACUUCAGCUAAUACCGUAUGUGCCCUUCGGGGGAAAGAUUUAUCGCCAUUGGAGCGGCCCGCGUUAGAUUAGCUAGUUGGUAGGGUAAUGGCCUACCAAGGCGACGAUCUAUAGCUGGUCUGAGAGGAUGAUCAGCCACACUGGGACUGAGACACGGCCCAGACUCC